GAUGAACGCUAGCUACAGGCUUUAACACAUGCGAAGUCGAGGGGCAGCAUGGUCUUAGCUUGCUAAGGCCGAUGGCGACCGGCGCACGGGUGAGUAACACGUAUCCAACCUGCCGAUAACUCGGGGAUAACCCUUCGAAAGAAGGCCUAAUACCCGAUGGCAUAUCCCUUCCGCCUGGUGGGGAUAUUAAAGAACUUCGGUUAUCGAUGGGGAUGCGUUCCAUUAGCUUGUUGGCGGGGUAACGGCCCACCAAGGCAUCGAUGGAUAGGGGUUCUGAGAGGAAGGUCCCCCACAUUGGAACUGAGACACGGGUCCAAACUCCUACGGGAGGCAGCAGUGAGGAAUAUUGGUCAAUGGACGAGAGUCUGAACCAGCCAAAGUAGCGUGAAGGAUGAAAGGUCCUAAUGG
rnacentral:rRNA from 1 species